rnacentral:rRNA from 1 species
UACAGAGGGUGCGAGCGUUGUCCGGAAUCACUGGGCGUAAAGGGCGCGUAGGUGGCCUGGUAAGUCGGGGGUGAAAUCUCGCGGCUCAACUGCGAGGCUGCCUCCUAAACUGUCAGGCUCGAGCAGAGUAGAGGCAGGUGGAAUUCCCGGUGUAGCGGUGGAAUGCGUAGAGAUCGGGAAGAACAUCGGUGGCGAAGGCGGCCUGCUGGGCUCUUGCUGACACUGAGGCGCGACAGCGUGGGGAGCAAACAGG